AAGGUAAGUAAGGUAAAUACAUCAACAUGGAUAGGAAUAUGACAGGAAUAUCUAUGCAAAUCGUUGGGAAUUAUAAAAGGGAUAUUGAGAUCUUUUAAAGACGUUUGCUGAGAUGUAGGAUGUGGUUUGUGCAUAAAAUUCGCAAUAACCGAGCUAAGAUUUGUCUGGCUGAUUUUUGGCCUUUUUUUCGUCAUUUGUUGUGCUCGAUGUAUUUGGCAGGACCUCCAGAAAUUGAAUCCUUAAACGUCGAUUUUAGUGGCUUCGCUUACAUAAAUAUUUCAUUGAAAGCCAUUCAUAAAGGUCUUUGGUGCGCGCUGGUCCCAGCCACGUGUCCUGCUCGAGAGAGCCAACCGAACUGCGAACUGAGAAAUCGAGAAAUUGAGCAUUUGCCGCUUUUCCUCGGAGCUUUUCACCACACAUUUUGGCGCACAGGACAACAACUUUUCGUGCAAACAUUUCGAGUUUAAUUUGUUGUUGCCGCCAGUUUUGGAAUGCAACUCGGCAAACUGACAAUAUGCAAUGGGCAACGGGCAGCGGGCAAUAUGUUGACGUUGCCUAAAUGUCAAAUGCCAAGGAUAAUUCGUGGCGUUAAUGCAGCAAUUUCCGAUGACUGCGAGUUGCUGUAAGUCAAUGUUAUGUCUGUAAUCUGAAGAUCAGAAGUCAGUUAUGGCAAAUGUU